UGGGGAAUAUUGCACAAUGGGCGCAAGCCUGAUGCAGCCAUGCCGCGUGUGUGAAGAAGGCCUUCGGGUUGUAAAGCACUUUCAGCGGGGAGGAAGGCGUUAAGGUUAAUAACCUUGGCGAUUGACGUUACCCGCAUAAGAAGCACCGGCUAACUCCGUGCCAUCAGCCGCGGUAAUACGGAGGGUGCAAGCGUUAAUCGGAAUUACUGGGCGUAAAGCGCACGCAGGCGGUCUGUCAAGUCGGAUGUGAAAUCCCCGGGCUCAACCUGGAAACUGCAUUCGAAACUGGCAGGCUAGAUUCUUGUAGAGGUGGGUAGAAUUCCAGAUGUAGCGGUGAAAUGCGUGUAUAUCUGGAGGAAUACCGGUGGCGAAGGCAACCCCCUGGACAAAGACUGACGCUCAGGUGCGAAAGCGUGGGGAGCAAACAGG
rnacentral:rRNA from 1 species